rnacentral:rRNA from 1 species
UACGGGGGGAGCAAGCGUUGUUCGGAUUUACUGGGCGUAAAGGGCGCGUAGGCGGCGCGGCAAGUCACUUGUGAAAUCUCCGGGCUUAACUCGGAACGGUCAAGUGAUACUGCUGUGCUAGAGUGCGGAAGGGGCAACUGGAAUUCUCGGUGUAGCGGUGAAAUGCGUAGAUAUCGAGAGGAACACCUGCGGCGAAGGCGGGUUGCUGGGCCGACACUGACGCUGAGGCGCGAAAGCUAGGGGAGCGAACAGG